ensembl:lncRNA
GCUUAUGAUUGUGCCAGAGCACAUUUUGAACAACACCAUGGGAAUUUCGGAUUUUACACAGGUGGUUGGAUGUUACACUCUGGAAAUGGAAGGAAGCAUGUCUUUAUCCUGUCUUCCUUCUCUCACCCCAACCGGUCGCAGCAGAUGGCCCCGCCCCUCCCUGAGCCUGGUUCUGCUGGAGGUUUCUUCCUGUUAAAAGGGAGUUUUUCCUUCCUACUCUCAUAUGAUUGUCGGGUUUUUCUCUGUAUGUAUUAUUGUAGGGUCUACCUUACAAUAUAAAGCACCUUAAGGCGACUGUUGUUGUGAUUUGGC